rnacentral:rRNA from 1 species
AGUGAACGCUGGCGGUAGGCCUAACACAUGCAAGUCGAACGGCAGCACAGUAAGAGCUUGCUCUUACGGGUGGCGAGUGGCGGACGGGUGAGGAAUACAUCGGAAUCUACUUUUUCGUGGGGGAUAACGUAGGGAAACUUACGCUAAUACCGCAUACGACCUACGGGUGAAAGCAGGGGAUCUUCGGACCUUGCGCGAUUGAAUGAGCCGAUGUCGGAUUAGCUAGUUGGCGGGGUAAAGGCCCACCAAGGCGACGAUCCGUAGCUGGUCUGAGAGGAUGAUCAGCCACACUGGAACUGAGACACGGUCCAGACUCCUACGGGAGGCAGCGGUGGGGAAUAUUGGACAAUGGGCGCAAGCCUGAUCCAGCCAUACCGCGUGGGUGAAGAAGGCCUUCGGGUUGUAAAGCCCUUUUGUUGGGAAAGAAAAGCAGCAGGUUAAUACCCCGCUGUUCUGACGGUACCCAAAGAAUAAGCACCGGCUACCUUCGU